CGCAGUGCGUGCCUCUGUCUACUGGUCAUCCUUCUGGAAAACGCCCCUGCACUUGACUGUGGUGGGGUGGUGGUGUCCAGAUCAUUUACUGUGAGUAAAUCAAGAGUGGUUAAAGCAGGCUCGACGCCUGGACGUUCUAGCAUGAUAUAGAUAGGGCCUUGUCUAUUUUGUUGGCUUCUAGACUAAAGUAAUGAUGAUAGGGAUAGUUGGGGUGCUAGUAUUUAACGUCAGCGUGAAAUGCGUGGACCCGUUAAAGACUAACUUAUGCGAAAGCAUUCACCAAAGAUAUUUUCUUUGAUCAAGAACGAAAGUUGGGGGAUCGAAGACGAUCAGAUACCGUCGUAGUCUCAACCAUAAACUAUGCCAACUAGGGAUUGGCAGUCGUUGACUAUUGACUCUGUCAGCACCUUACGAGAAAUCAAAGUCUCUGGGUUCUGGGGGGAGUAUGGUCGCAAGGCUGAAACUUAAAGGAAUUGACGGAAGGGCACCACCAGGAAUGGAGCCUGCGGCUUAAUUUGACUCAACACGGGGAAACUUACCAGGUCCGGACAUAGUAAGGAUUGACAGAUUGAAGAUCUUUCUUGAUUCUAUGGGUAGUGGUGCAUGGCCGUUCUUAGUUGGUGGAGUGAUUUGUCUGGUUAAUUCCGUUAACGAACGAGACCUCAGCCUACUAACUAGACGCGGCAAUCUCCGGAUUGACCGCGCGCUUCUUAGAGGGACUAUCGG
rnacentral:rRNA from 1 species